rnacentral:rRNA from 1 species
GACGUAGGGAUGCAAGCGUUGUUCGGAGUUUAUUGGGACGUAAAGCGAGCGUAGGUGGCUAGUUAAGUCUGGAUGUUAAAGCUAGGGGCUCAACCCCGUGUUGCACUGGAAACUGGCUGGCUUGAGGAUGGUAGGGAAGGUGGAAUUCCGAGUGUAGCGGUGAAAUGCGUAGAUAUUCGGAGGAACACCGGUGGCGAAAGCGACCUU